rnacentral:rRNA from 1 species
GAACCACGUUAAUUCAAAUUGGCCCGUACCCUAAACCGACACAGGUGGGAAGGUAGAGUAUACCCAGGGGCGCGAGAUAACUCUCUCUAAGGAACUCGGCAAAAUGGCCCCGUAACUUCGGGAGAAGGGGUGCCACCGAGAGGUGGUCGCAGUGAAGAGUCCCAGGCGACUGUUUACCAAAAACACAGGUCUCCGCUAAGUCGCAAGACGAUGUAUGGGGGCUGACGCCUGCCCAGUGCCGGAAGGUUAAGGAAGUUGGUCAGGGAGCAAUCCUGAAGCUAGCGACUGAAGCCCCGGUGAACGGCGGCCGUAACUAUAACGGUCCUAAGGUAGCGAAAUUCCUUGUCGGGUAAGUUCCGACCCGCACGAAAGGCGUAACGAUCUGGGAGCUGUCUCGGAGAGAGGCUCGGCGAAAUAGGAAUGUCUGUGAAGAUACGGACUACCUGCACCCUGACAGAAAGACCCUAUGAAGCUUUACUGUAGCUUGGUAUUGGGUUCGGGCUUUGAUUGCGCAGGAUAGGUGGGAGACUAUGAGAUAGCUCUUGUGGGAGUUAUGGAGUCACUGGUGAGAUACCACUCUAUCAAGGCUAGAAUUCUAACUUUGACCCGUUAUCCGGGCAGAGAACAGUAUCAGGUGGGCAGUUUGACUGGGGCGGUCGCCUCCUAAAUGGUAACGGAGGCGCGCAAAGGUUCCCUCAGGCUGGUUGGAAAUCAGCCAUUGAGUGUAAAGGCAUAAGGGAGCUUGACUGCGAGACUGACAAGUCGAGCAGGUACGAAAGUAGGCCUUAGUGAUCCGACGGUUCCGCGUGGAAGGGCCGUCGCUCAACGGAUAAAAGUUACUCUAAGGAUAACAGGCUGAUCUCCCCCAAGAGUUCACAUCGACGGGGAGGUUUGGCACCUCGAUGUCGGCUCAUCGCAACCUGGGGCUGUAGUCGGUCCCAAGGGUUGGGCUGUUCGCCCAUUAAAGCGGUACGUGAGCUGGGUUCAGAACGUCGUGAGACAGUUCGGUCCAUAUCCGGUGCAGGCGUAGGAACAUUGAGAGGAGUCUUCCUUAGUACGAGAGGACCGGGAAGAACGCACCGCUGGUGUACCUGUUAUCGUGCCAACGGUAAACGCAGGGUAGCCAAGUGCGGAGAGGAUAACCGCUGAAAGCAUCUAAGUGGGAAGCCCACCUCGAGAUGAGUGUUCCCAUGGCAAAAGCCAGUAAGGUCACGGGUAGACCACCCAUUAAUAGGCGCUAGAUGGAAGUCCAGCAAUGGAUGUAGUCGAGGCGUACUAACAGACCGAGGGCUUGACC